CAAGAGUAUUAUGAAAGAGAAAGUGAGAGAGAGAGAGAUUAUACUAACAAGGCAAGGAAAAGGGCAAGAUUUCUUCAACGAGUCUUGUGAUUUGCAUCACCAACACCAAUUCCAACGCCAAAACCAACGAAUGGAAUCGUUUUUCUUAACCGAAACCUUUCCCCACAACUAUUACACCACCACCACUUCUCUCCAUCUACUGUUAUUAUUAUUAUUAUGCUUCUUCCUAAUCCUCUCCCCCACUUCUCUUUCCUCUUUUCUCUCCCUUUCUUCCUCUUCUCCACUAUUUCUUCUUACUAAUAAUCGCUCUUUCAGAUCUGCCGCUACUUCUCUGACAUUUCCAGUUUUUGAGGAAUAUGUUUGGAGAAGGAAGUAAAGGCAACACUUUGUUUCCAGCAUUAUUCGAGGGGAAUUGUUUUCAGUACGACGCGAGUGCAUUACCUCAGCUGCAAUUGUUUGGUGAUUUUAACGUUGGGUGUAGUGGAUACCCGAUAAGCAACACAGUGAAUGAACACCCAUCUGCUGCAAUUCACCCCACCAAAAGAGUCCGGGAUGCUGAACCAAACUAUAGCCAGCAAAAGCUUAAGAUAUCCUUGAAUAACAACUUUUGUCAGAAUGAAGUGGAUCAAGCUGGAAGCAUUUUGAAUCCAAAUACUGUAUCAACUGGACUCAGACUUUCUUAUGAGGAAAAAGAACGUAAUUCCUCAGUCACUUCUGCUCCUGAGAACAUGAAAGCAGCCCUUCUUGCUUUUCUUCCGAUAGACAGUGGUUUUAAACUUGAGAUUGACAGGCAAAGAGAAGGAUUUGAUCGGUACAUAAAAGUGCAGGAAGAUAAUAUGAUGAAGGGCAUGCGGGAGUUGAUUCAUCGACAGACAGUAUCUUUACUGAACUCCUUGCAAAAAGAAGUUAACAAGAGAUUAUAUGAGAAAGAUCUUGAAAUAGGCAAUUUGAACCGCAAGAACAAGGAACUUGGGGAGAGAAUAAAGCAGAUUACUGUAGAAGCUCAAUCAUGGCAUUACAGAGCAAAGUACAACGAAUCGGUUGCCAAUGCCCUGAAAAGCAAUAUUCAGCUGGCCAUGGCCCAUGGUUCCAUGCAAGUUCAGGAAGGCUGCGGAGAUAGUGAAGUAAAUGAUGCUGCCUCAAGUACGAACCACCUUGGUUUGGCAGGCGGUUCGCAAGACCAAGUACCCCAAAUACAGCAGCUAAAAUGCAGAGCUUGCAAGAGUAAAGAAGUCAGUGUCUUGCUAUUUCCAUGCAGACACUUGUGUCUUUGUAAAGAAUGUGAAGGGUUUAUUGAUAGUUGCCCAGUAUGCCAGUUGAAACGAGGGUGGUCUUUUUUCUGGAUUGGGCAUUGUUUCUUAUGCUUAGCAGGGGGUAAAACCCAUUAUGGACCACUGCAGUAGGAGAUAUGGUAGCUCUGGAUAUUUGCAAGUUGCAAGUAACAACAAAAAUGAAAAAAUGGAGAAGGAAAAGGAUGAAAACCUAGCAUAAGGAGAUUAGAUGAAAAUCUAUAGUGUGAUGGGGUCAAUUUGUUGCCUAAUUGGCCGCCUUGUUUGUGUUAGGAACGUUCUUUGUAGUCAUUAAAUAGUGUAGUAGUAGAACUUUGGUGGGAAAUGACUCCUUUGCAUAUGGUCUUCAAACUAAACAUCUUGUGUUGUCCUUUCCCUUAUAAUUAUAAUAGAGCACUAGCAGUGAAUGCCUUACCUUUUAUUA